AUUGAACGCUGGCGGCAGGCCUAACACAUGCAAGUCGAGCGGAUGAAGGGAGCUUGCUCCUGGAUUCAGCGGCGGACGGGUGGGUAAUGCCUAGGAAUCUGCCUGGUAGUGGGGGAUAACGUCCGGAAACGGGCGCUAAUACCGCAUACGUCCUGAGGGAGAAAGUGGGGGAUCUUCGGACCUCACGCUAUCAGAUGAGCCUAGGUCGGAUUAGCUAGUUGGUGGGGUAAAGGCCUACCAAGGCGACGAUCCGUAACUGGUCUGAGAGGAUGAUCAGUCACACUGGAACUGAGACACGGUCCAGACUCCUACGGGAGGCAGCAGUGGGGAAUAUUGGACAAUGGGCGAAAGCCUGAUCCAGCCAUGCCGCGUGUGUGAAGAAGGUCUUCGGAUUGUAAAGCACUUUAAGUUGGGAGGAAGGGCAGUAAGUUGAUACCUUGCUGUUUUGACGUUACCAACAGAAUAAGCACCGGCUAACUUCGUG
rnacentral:rRNA from 1 species